CAACCUUGCAAACUUGUGACUUGUACUUCUUUCAUUAUUAAGGACGACUGCUUAUUAAUUUUUACGUAGCCAAAUCUGUUUCAUGGUUUGUGGCUUUCACAAUAUGAAGCAAAGACCUUCCCCACUUCUAAGAGUAUGAAAAUAUUCACUUCCUCUAAAGCUCCCAGAUGGACUUUAAGAACAGUCCCAAAAGAAAUCCUGGUGGGAUUAUGUUGGAACU
rnacentral:lncRNA from 1 species